CGGUUGGGUUUUUAACAUCCAGUUAACCGGUUCAAGAAUUUUUGAACCGUUACAUCCUUAAGUUAGGAGCCAUGGUGGCUCAGUAAGAUGUUGGCUCGCUAACCUUGAAGUCCUGUGUUCAAUUGCUGUGUUUAUAACACUAUAUAGAGUUAUUUUAGGUCUAAGAAAAGUGUUCUGUUUAAUAUAGAAAUCUUUACCUACAUGAUGUGUGACGAAAACUAGGGUAAUGAAGUAGUUUGCAUUAUCCUACUACUAACUUAGAGUCUAGACUUAGACUAACUCACCCCCAGUUAUGUCAGUAUCCAUUUCUGGAAAGUAGGGUAUUAUCGUCCAGUCAUCUCGGGCACAGAUUAGUACAAUUAACUAGAAUAAUGUUGACGUUAAACGGUGCCUAUAUGAAACACUUACCCAAAAAUGGUAAUUGUCCCGCCCCAAUAGCUGCUGCAUUAUACUUCUAUAUAUUAUAGAGCGGGUUUGAUUUACCUCAAACAAUCAUUCGGAGCUCAAGGGGAACAUACCUAUAGCCUCCUCGGCUUAGAGGCUAGGGCGAACACAUCAUCCUAGAUUAGUACAAUUAACUAGAAUAAUGUUGAUGUUAAACGGUGCCUAUACGAAACACUUACCCAAAAAUGGUAAUUGUCCCGCCCCAAUAGCUGCUGCAUUAUACUUCUAUAUAUUAUAGAGCAGGUUUGAUUUACCUCAGACAAUCAUUCGGAGCUCAAGGGGAACAUACCUAUAGCCUCCUCGGCUAAGAGGCUUGGGCGAACGCAUCAUCCUAGCGCGAACCUUAUGUAGAACUAACAAGAAGUAUGUGGCUCUUGUUACGUUUAAGCCGUUAGGUCUGAGUUAGAAAGGAUAUUAAACUCAGACCGUGGAGAUUUUAAUUACUCAAAAAGUAACUAUCAUAGAUAUUGUAGUUUCGUGUAUGUGACCUUUGUAGUUUGCUGUAUUCGUUAGAUAAACUUAGUAACAACAUAAACGGUGUUCCAGAGUCCAUUAAUUGAUGAUUGAGAUAAUUGAUCCAACAACAAGAAGUCCAAGCAGGUCCUAGACGAUCAUCUGUCCCCAUAGUGUCACAGCUAAUUCCUUUUUGGUACCGCGACAUAGGAUAGUGUCAAAUGUUAACCAAGAAAGUUCAUCGUGAUUUACCGGCGUGGUUUCCUGUCGUCAUGAGUCCUGUUGGAGCAGAACAGUAGGACGUUAAAACCCAUUUCAUAUGUAUAUUGAGUUUAUAAUACAAGUUAUAUUGAGUUCAUGAUUUUGAGCGUAUAAGAUAUUAGUUGAACUUGUUAAAGGGACAAUAACACUCUGGCUGGCUUGACAGCUCCAGAAAAUAGAAAAAUAGUCUUAAUCUAAGUACUAGAUGUGUUAGUGUCUUACCUGAUGUGUUAAUUAUCCAUUAAAUCCUAUUUGAAUUGCCCAAAUGGUUCGAAAGUAUUUUUCAAUUCCAAAUCCAGUUGAAUCGUCUAACAUCAGACGAUUCAAAUAAUCUAAGAGUCAUUUCUAUCAAGGGAGGUAAUAAACUCCAGAUUUGAUUGACUUCCUGUUCUAAAAAUAGCUUUCCAUGAUGUCAUAAGGGGGAUAUCCUCAAGUGUUGUGCGGUUUAUUGUUGCAAAUAAAUAAAUACAUAAUGUCAACGGGAAUGUGAAAGGAAAUGGGGAUUAAUAUGACUUGGAUUACCAAACAAUUAAUUCAAACUUAUUAAUAACAUUCUAGACAGUCCGUCUUAGGUCUAAUUAGCCUGAAUUGUAUAUACACAUAGAGGUGUCAAUCAGCUAGAUCUCUAUCUAUCUAUUGUCAUUGACUACAUGUAUUGUCCUUGAGUUCGAACAGUGUGAUUUUUUUCCUUCGAUUAACAAGUCCAAUUAACCUUUGUACGAAUUGAAGGAGAAACUGAAAAUAGAGACUCAUCAAGAAGUGGCAAAGCUGUUAUUGGACAGGUAGGCCUAAUUUGCAAAAUAUUAUCAUGAGAAUCUAUAUUCAGCUUAUUAUUACCAUUGGAAUGGGAAACGUUUCGUUUUGAAAAAUAUUACUGUUUAUAAAUAUUAUAUCUUUAUAAAACGUGGGGAUCACGGUAGCUAUUUGGGUAAGACGCUGGCUCGCUAGCCUGGAGGUCGGGUGUUCGAUCCUUGCAUUUACCGAGAAAGUUCAUCCAGAAUUUCCUACGUGGUUCCCCCUUGUCAGUGAUGCAGGACAGAGGGCCUGAUAAGGACAGCUGUCUAGUCGUUCGAGGGGACGAAAAACUGAGGUCCCGUGUACACAUUGGCCUGCACGUAAAAGAUCCCUUUACAUUUGCAAUUCGAUAUAAGAGUAGGCCGUAGUAAAAUUUCCCUCAUAGCACACUGUAUGGUGUAUGCCCGUCUUCAUUAGCCCAGUUCGGAGCAGAACAGUAGGACGUUAAACUCCAUUUCAUUUUAUAAAAGAUGUGAAAUAUUGUUUCUAUUUCUUUACCAUUGUUUAAAUCGCUAAUAUUUGGGACCUAGAAAUUGACACAAAUGGGUCGCAACGUUUAUAAUAAUGUAAUAUAUGUGUACAUAUAAACUUAUUUACAAUUUACAUUCAAUCAUUUCUGUUUUUACUGUUAAUUCUAAUCAGUUAUGUUCGACGAAUUGCCCCAGAAGUAUCAAUGAGACGGCAAUCUAUUUAUUAUGCAGGCUCUCCACCUAAGAAUAUGGGGUCACCGUCCUGACUUGUGGAAUAUGUCUAGCCCUGUUAUUUGAGUCCUUUGUUACAAAUGGUAAACAUGUAAAAUGUUCAUUUUUUUUAUAUAUAUUGGAUGUCAGAAGCCCAUCUUUUCCCAGUAAAAUCACAACAUCAAUGUCGAUUUAAAUUGACAAAUAAUUUUUGUCAGACUUUCGAUGAUAUUGGGUUAGAGACUUAGCUACUGUACUUUAAUCUAGAUGGUUGAAUAUCUCAUAUGAGCUAUGGUUUAUUAGUAACCUGAAUUUAAAUUUAAUUAUUGUAAGGGUUUUUUUUACUAUCUUGUAUAAUAACUAAUAUUAACAGACAAUUUUUUGAUGAAUGACUGGUGAAUGUAUUUAUUUUUUCAGCUAUUAGCGGAAUUUGUGUGCCUUCAAAUGCUGGAGCACUGCAUGUUUCAGAACUAUCAUCCAUUCAUGGCAGUACUGAUACAGACAAGGGAAAGAACAGGCCUCCUGAAAUGUCUACAAUCUCUGUAGGAAUAAGCCCCUUUCAAGACAAUAUAACUCAAGAAAAGGCCAGACUCGAUGAUAAAGGCAAAAUGGGGCGAAAAUGACCACUAGACCAGGAUGGUCCUCGAAAGAUUGCAGACACAGGUGCAAAACCCCAGCCAGAACCAACUUCAGAGACAGCCAAGAAACAGAAAACCAGAUUUUAAUUAAACUAGCCAAUUUGAAGUGACUGAAAUGAAGGCUGCAGAACUUCCUGCUGCCGGUACUACCCGGACCAAUGACAUUAAUUUUUGUGGAUGAAAUAUAUCAAAGGAUAUUAUUACAGAAAAAAAUCACUUACUGGUGGUAAUGAAAUACAAUUCUCUGGUCUGGUACCGCAACAUAACUUCUCAAUAUCUGUUGGCAUAUCUCCACAUCUGUCAUAGGAACACCAGUCUGGUGCAGUUGAGGUUGGAUAUGGGGGUUGGAUUGGCUGUUGGUUUCUUAGUUCUUCAGAAAUGUCAAAUAAAACUGCAGGCAUUUUUUCAGCCACAGACAACAAAAGUAUCCUACAUCCAUCCACUUACCAGUUUCUGAAAUUAUUUGAAAAUUAUGUUUGCAAUUUGUAAAUAAUUAUCUCUGGGCUUACAUACUGUGUAAAUAUUUUAUAUAAUUAUGACCAGAAAUGAUCAUAUAUAUAUUUGUUAUAUAAUUACAAGAAAGUGUGUGAAUAAUAAUCCAUUGUGAGCUUACAAAAUAUUUCUUUAUAUCUUAAUCUUAAAAAUUUGGUUUCAUAAAUAUUCUUGCUUGCUGUUUCUGUGUAUAUAUUUUACAACUAUUAAAAAAAGAGUUUUCUAACCUUGAGUCCCUCAGUUUUUUUCUUUUUUGAGUCUUUCGACCCUCUCCCUUGUUGACUCAGUUUUCCCUUUUUGUCUUUUCCCUCUUUUUGGUCUCGGUGGGGUGGUUUUGAAUGACGUUACAUGUAAUUGCAGCUUCCGUUAAGAUCUAAUUGUCCUUGAUGUAGAUGAUGCUGUUUAUGUUGAAGGUUGGGCAGCAUGAGUUGCUUCUGGCAUAAUUGAUAAAGUAAGUAAUA